rnacentral:rRNA from 1 species
UACGUGAGGUGGCAAGCGUUGUCCGGAUUUAUUGGGUUUAAAGGGUGCGUAGGUGGCCCUGUAAGUCAGUGGUGAAAUAUCUCAGCUUAACUGAGAGGGUGCCAUUGAUACUGCAGGGCUUGAGUACAGAUGAGGUAGGCGGAAUUGACGGUGUAGCGGUGAAAUGCAUAGAUAUCGUCAAGAACACCCGAUAGCGAAGCAGCUCACCAAGCUGUAACUGACACUGAAGGGCACGGAAAAGUGAUGGGGGAUUCAAA